GCUUCGGUAGUGUAGUGGUUAACACGACGGCAGCAAGCAGAGAGAAGAGGGUGGGGUGGCGGGAGACUUGUUCUCCUCCUCCAUUCAGCCCUGUAGUCCUGGUUCGCAGCUGUAGUCCUGGGUUCGAAUCCCAGCUGGAGCA
rnacentral:tRNA from 1 species